rnacentral:rRNA from 1 species
UACGAAGGGGGCUAGCGUUGCUCGGAAUCACUGGGCGUAAAGCGCACGUAGGCGGACUCUUAAGUCGGGGGGUGAAAUCCUGGAGCUCAACUCCAGAACUGCCUUCGAUACUGGGAGUCUUGAGUUCGGGAGAGGUGAGUGGAACUGCGAGUGUAGAGGUGAAAUUCGUAGAUAUUCGCAAGAACACCAGUGGCGAAGGCGGCUCACUGGCCCGAUACUGACGCUGAGGUGCGAAAGCGUGGGGGAGCAAACAGGG